GCAAAAAUCCUCGCACCUCCAAGAAACCCGUUACUGCAUCAGGCGCCUUUUCCCCGUCCCCGUGGCUCCCUUCCCCUACUUGGAGUAACCCUCUCUUUCUUUCCAUCUUCUUGAAAUUAUUGUCAUCAUAUAUACCUAAAAUCAAACAGAGCAAGGGCGAGAAAGAGAGAUGCAGUUCUCAUGGUGCUGAGGGCUGCGAUCUGCCGAGGGAUAGUGAGGACUAGGGGCCUCGUGGUCGUGGGCGGUGGGAGCUCGAUCGAUGUCGUCGUCGUGGAGCCGCGUCGAGCCGGCGCCUAAGGAUCCGAUCCUCGGCGUCACGGAGGCUUACCUUGCCGAUCCCAUCCCCAACAAAAGUGAACGUCGGCGUCGGAGCUUAUUGUGAUGAUAAUGAAGAUCCUCGAAUGCGUUAGGGAAGCUGAAAGGAGGAUUGCCGGGAACCUGAAUAUCCAUCAUAAUAUUUGGAUAGAUGCUUGGGUCACAACAGACAUUUCAUUAUCACCAUCCUGAAUCAAGGGGACUUGAUUUUGCUUCAUUGAUGGUAGAUAUUAAGAAUGAUCCAAAUGGGUCAUUCUUUUGCUUAAUGCAUGUGCACAUAAUCCAUCCAGGGUGGAUCCUUCUGAGGAACAAUGGAGGGAGAUAUCCCAUCAGUUUAAGAUAAAGAAUUCUGGGAGGUGAUGGCUGAUCGAAUCAUUGGAAUGUGAAAGGCACUUAGGGAAAAACCUUGAGAAGUUUGGUUCACUGCUAUCCUGGGAACAUAUAACUAAUCAGAUUGGCAUGUUUUGCUACAUACAGCGGAAUGACCCCUGAACAGGUUGAUUGCUUGACAAAUGAGUUCCAUAUCUACAUGGCUUGUAACGGCAGAAUCAGGUAUUAAUUGAGUUGCAAUGCUUUUCCAUGUCCUUUAAUUGUGCAUGUUCUUCCCUUGCUUGUAAAAAUGUAUCUUGUAUAACUGAUGAACAUUUGCCGUGAAAGUUCAGUGGUGUUACAUACUUUGGAACCAA